GGAGCCGUAGUGUAGCGGUUUAACAUGUCGGCCUGUCACGCCGAAGAUCGCGGGUUCGAAUCCCGUCGGCUCCG
rnacentral:tRNA from 1 species